AUUGAACGCUGGCGGCAGGCCUAACACAUGCAAGUCGAGCGAGCGGCGGACGGGUGAGUAAUGUCUGGGAAACUGCCUGAUGGAGGGGGAUAACUACUGGAAACGGUAUCUAAUACCGCAUACCCUCUGAUGUGCCCACAUGGGAUUAGCUGGUGGGUGGGGUAACGGCUCACCUAGGCGACGAUCCCUAGCUGGGCUGAGAGGAGGACCAGCCACACUGGAACGUAGACACGGGCCAGACUCCUACGGGAGGCAGCAGUGGGGAAUAUUGCACAAUGGGCGCAAGCCUGAUGCAGCCAUGCCGCGUGUGUGAAGAAGGCCUUCGGGUUGUAAAGCACUUUCAGCGGGGAGGCGUUACCCGAAGAAGAAGCACCGGCUAACUCCGUGCCAGCAGCCGCGGUAAUUC
rnacentral:rRNA from 1 species